GCGAACUGCCUGAGCAGAUUAUCGAUCCAAAGUUCUGUGGCAUGGAUACCUCGUCUGUCCACAGAUGUUUAUCCAUGCUUAUCCUCGCAUCUCACCCAAUCUGCAGCACGUCCCCGGAUAGAAGACAAACUCUCGGUAGAGUUCUUGAUCUGGACUACUACGGGAUAGACAUCACAUCUAGCCCGUAAGGUUGAUGUCGUCCUAGCAGGUUGCGAUUCAAUAAUGGAAAAGGCCUACUUAGAUGUAAUGACAGAGAGAAGCAACAACGAGUUUGACAAUGAGCAGCUUGUGAACAAGUAGAAGAACACAAUAUUUCGCAAUAAAAUUAGGAUGUCAACGAGGUUGGAUUUCCAUACUAAGCUAUGUGUGGCAUCUUAUUCUUCAGUUGUUAUCUUUCCUGUCGUGUUGGCUUAUCUCCUGUUUACAUAGGAUUUAGUUUAACGGUUCAGAGUUGCUGUAUCAAUUUCCUAGAUCACAUUGUGUCAUUGAUAUCCUUACUGCAAAAAGAAAAACAUUGGCAUAAAUUUAUUUGUAUAUCAUGUUUUGACGCACUGGAAUAUGCAUAAUUUUUAGUA